UACGGGGGGGGCAAGCGUUGUUCGGAAUUACUGGGCGUAAAGGGCUCGUAGGCGGCCAACUAAGUCAGACGUGAAAUCCCUCGGCUUAACCGGGGAACUGCGUCUGAUACUGGAUGGCUUGAGUUUGGGAGAGGGAUGCGGAAUUCCAGGUGUAGCGGUGAAAUGCGUAGAUAUCAGGAGGAACACCGGUGGCGAAGGCGGAUCUCUGGGCCUUACCUGACGCUGAGACGCGAAAGCUAGGGGAGCGAACAGG
rnacentral:rRNA from 1 species